CCUACGGGAGGCAGCAGUGGGGAAUAUUGCACAAUGGGGGAAACCCUGAUGCAGCGACGCCGCGUGAGUGAAGAAGUAUCUCGGUAUGUAAAGCUCUAUCAGCAGGGAAGAAAAUGACGGUACCUGACUAAGAAGCCCCGGCUAACUACGUGCCAGCAGCCGCGGUAAUACGUAGGGGGCAAGCGUUAUCCGGAUUUACUGGGUGUAAAGGGAGCGUAGACGGCGCUGCAAGUCCGGAGUGAAAGCCCAUGGCUUAACCAUGGUACUGCUCUUGGAACUGCAUGGCUGGAGUACAGGAGGGGCAGGCGGAAUUCCUAGUGUAGCGGUGAAAUGCGUAGAUAUUAGGAGGAACACCGGUGGCGAAGGCGGCCUGCUGGACUGUGACUGACGUUGAGGCCCGAAGGCGUGGGGAGCAAACAGGAUUAGAUACCCUUGUAGUC
rnacentral:rRNA from 1 species